UUGAACGCUGGCGGCAGGCCUAACACAUGCAAGUCGAACGGUAACAGGAAGCAGCUUGCUGCUUCGCUGACGAGUGGCGGACGGGUGAGUAAUGUCUGGGAAGCUGCCUGAUGGAGGGGGAUAACUACUGGAAACGGUAGCUAAUACCGCAUAAUGUCGCAAGACCAAAGAGGGGGACCUUCGGGCCUCUUGCCAUCGGAUGUGCCCAGAUGGGAUUAGCUUGUUGGUGGGGUAACGGCUCACCAAGGCGACGAUCCCUAGCUGGUCUGAGAGGAUGACCAGCCACACUGGGACUGAGACACGGUCCAGACUCCUACGGGAGGCAGCAGUGGGGAAUAUUGCACAAUGGGCGCAAGCCCGAUGCAGCCAUGCCGCGUGUAUGAAGAAGGCCUUCGGGUUGUAAAGUACUUUCAGCGGGGAGGAAGGGAGUAAAGUUAAUACCUUUGCUCAUUGACGUUACCCGCAGAAGAAGCACCGGCUAACUCCGUG
rnacentral:rRNA from 1 species